rnacentral:rRNA from 1 species
GGUCUGGAAAGUCCGACGAUACAGGGUGAUAGUCCCGUAGUUGACGACGUGUGUUCAGUGAAAUCGAGUAGGGCGGGACACGUGAUAUCCUGUCUGAAUAUGGGGGGACCAUCCUCCAAGGCUAAAUACUACUGACUGACCGAUAGUGAACCAGUACCGUGAGGGAAAGGCGAAAAGAACCCCUGUGAGGGGAGUGAAAUAGAACCUGAAACCGUGUACGUACAAGCAGUAGGAGCAGGCUUUGUCCUGUGACUGCGUACCUUUUGUAUAAUGGGUCAGCGACUUAUAUUCAGUGGCAAGGUUAACCAUCUAGGGGAGCCGUAGGGAAACCGAGUCUUAACUGGGCGUUCAGUCUCUGGAUAUAGACCCGAAACCAGGUGAUCUAGCCAUGGGCAGGUUGAAGGUUGAGUAACAUCAACUGGAGGACCGAACCGACUAAUGUUGAAAAAUUAGCGGAUGACUUGUGGCUAGGGGUGAAAGGCCAAUCAAACCUGGAGAUAGCUGGUUCUCCCCGAAAGCUAUUUAGGUAGCGCCUCGGACGAAUACUACUGGGGGUAGAGCACUGUUAAGGCUAGGGGGUCAUCCCGACUUACCAACCCUUUGCAAACUCCGAAUACCAGUAAGUACUAUCCGGGAGACACACGGCGGGUGCUAACGUCCGUCGUGGAGAGGGAAACAACCCAGACCGCCAGCUAAGGUCCCAAAUUACUACUAAGUGGGAAACGAUGUGGGAAGGCUCAGACAGCCAGGAUGUUGGCUUAGAAGCAGCCAUCAUUUAAAGAAAGCGUAAUAGCUCACUGGUCGAGUCGGCCUGCGCGGAAGAUGUAACGGGGCUAAGUAGUAAACCGAAGCUGCGGCAAUAUACUUUUGUAUAUUGGGUAGGGGAGCGUUCUGUAAGCGGUUGAAGGUGUGUGGUAACGCAUGCUGGACGUAUCAGAAGUGCGAAUGCUGACAUGAGUAA